rnacentral:tRNA from 1 species
GGUGUGGCUCAGUGGUAGAGCGCUUGCCUAGCAUGCAUGAGGCACUAGGUUUGAUCCUCAGCACC